UACAGAGGGGGCAAGCGUUAUUCGGAAUUAUUGGGCGUAAAGGGCGCGUAGGCGGCUUUGCAAGUGACGGGUGAAAUCCCUCGGCUUAACCUGGGAACUGCGUCUGAUACUGGGAGGCUUGAGUAUGGGAGAGGGAUGUAGAAUUCCAGGUGUAGCGGUGAAAUGCGUAGAUAUCUGGAGGAAUACCGGUGGCGAAGGCGGCAUCCUGGACCAUAACUGACGCUGAGGCGCGAAAGCGUGGGGAGCGAACAGG
rnacentral:rRNA from 1 species